rnacentral:rRNA from 1 species
UACGGAGGGUGCAAACGUUGCUCGGAAUCAUUGGGCGUAAAGCGCACGUAGGCGGCUCAGCAAGUCGGGUGUGAAAGCCCUCGGCUCAACCGAGGAAGUGCAUUCGAAACUACUGAGCUUGAAUACUGGAGAGGAUCGCGGAAUUCCCGGUGUAGAGGUGAAAUUCGUAGAUAUCGGGAGGAACACCAGUGGCGAAGGCGGCGAUCUGGGCCAUUACUGACGCUGAGGAGCGAAAGCGUGGGGAGCGAACAGG